UACGUAGGGUGCGAGCGUUGUCCGGAAUUAUUGGGCGUAAAGAGCUCGUAGGCGGUCUGUCGCGUCGGUCGUGAAAACUUGGGGCUUAACCCUGAGCUUGCGGUCGAUACGGGCAUGACUGGAGUUCGGCAGGGGAGACUGGAAUUCCUGGUGUAGCGGUGAAAUGCGCAGAUAUCAGGAGGAACACCGGUGGCGAAGGCGGGUCUCUGGGCCGAUACUGACGCUGAGACGCGAAAGCGUGGGGAGCGAACAGG
rnacentral:rRNA from 1 species